GAAUGUUUGAUUUUGAACUUUAAUUAAAUAGAGACGUCUUGGAAUUCACAUCAGGGGUUGUGAUUCUUCUUUGUUAUAUGUUCGGCCUGUGUCCUUAGAAUUCACGAGCCUUGAAAUGGUAAUGGGCCGUAACAUAUUUGGGCGCUCGUCCAGGGAUUGAUCUGGAUUUUGUGUGACUUCGUGUGAUCUUUUUGAUCUGUUCACACUUGAAUUUGUUACUUUGUAACUUUGUUGAAUCACAGACUUUGAUGGGCAUUUUUUUUGGAUUGUGUAGUGCUUUAUUGUUUUUCUCUUUAACCUGAGACGUUUAUAAAUCAUGUUUGAAUUAACGAAUUUUAUUGCAAAUCCGACGCAAGCUGAGUUGUUCCAAAUUAAUAGGGUUGAUCUUAUGAAGAUUGCUGCACAUUAUAAGGUUGGUUUUCGUAAUACGCAGUCCAAACGGGAACUUCAGGUGUUGCUUGUGGAUUCGUUGCAUAAACAGGGCGACUUUGGUGAGGAGGAAAAGCUGGUUGAUUAUCCUGAAGCGGAUGAGGUUAGUUUAGAUCUUGCUUUACAAGUCAAAAAGUUGGAGUUGCAAGCUAAAGAGCACGAUAGAGAGUUGUUAAAAGAAAGGGAAGAAUGGGAGCGUGAGAAAGAGAGACGAAGAGAGCGUGAGAGGCAUGAACUUGAGUUGAAACGGCUUGAGAUGGAACAAGCUUGCCGCCUCAAGGAAAUCGAGCUGAAAGCUCGUGAAAGGGGUGCCGCGGAUGUUUCGGAUUUCGAUGUGGGUCGCAAUAUUCGUAUGGUUCCUCCUUUUCGAGAAAAAGAGGUAGACAAGUUUUUUGCUCUUUUUGAACGGGUUGCCAUCAAUCUUAAGUGGCCGAAAACAUUUUGGCCCAUGUUGUUGCAGUGUGUUCUUGUGGGGAAAGCCCAGGAAGCUUAUUCUUCUUUGUCCGUGGAGGAGUCUCUCGAUUAUGAGGAAGUAAAAGCUGCUGUUCUUCGAAUUUAUGAAUUGGUUCCGGAGGCUUAUCGCCAAAAGUUUCGUAAUCAUCGAAAAACUGAUGAGACCUACGUUGAAUUCGUUCGUGAGAAAGAGUCAAUGUUUGAUCGGUGGUGUGCUUCUAUGAAAGUAAAAACGUAUGAAGAGCUACGUGAAC
rnacentral:lncRNA from 1 species